UGACUGCAGCAGUGACAAGAAGGCAGAGGGAAGCCACACUUCAGAAGUCCUUGGUACUGUUGCUGAUCGGUAAUUAGUGAAUGCUACAAGAAAGGGGGCUUUGUUCUGCUGCUGCACAGCUGUUGGGACAGUCUCUGUCUUCUGAAUUGUUGGACCUGGGGAUGCAGAA